UACGAAGGGUGCAAGCGUUACUCGGAAUUACUGGGCGUAAAGCGUGCGUAGGUGGUGAGUUAAGUCUGAUGUGAAAUCCCCGGGCUCAACCUGGGAAUGGCAUUGGAUACUGGCUCGCUAGAGUGCGGUAGAGGGUGGUGGAAUUCCCGGUGUAGCAGUGAAAUGCGUAGAGAUCGGGAGGAACAUCUGUGGCGAAGGCGGCGACCUGGGCCAAUAUUGACGCUGAGAUGCGAAAGCGUGGGGAGCAAACAGG
rnacentral:rRNA from 1 species